GAUGAACGCUGGCGGCGUGCCUAAUACAUGCAAGUCGAGCGAACAGACGAGGAGCUUGCUCCUCUGACGUUAGCGGCGGACGGGUGAGUAACACGUGGAUAACCUACCUAUAAGACUGGGAUAACUUCGGGAAACCGGAGCUAAUACCGGAUAAUAUAUUGAACCGCAUGGUUCUAUAGUGAAAGACGGUUUUGCUGUCACUUAUAGAUGGAUCCGCGCCGCAUUAGCUAGUUGGUAAGGUAACGGCUUACCAAGGCAACGAUGCGUAGCCGACCUGAGAGGGUGAUCGGCCACACUGGAACUGAGACACGGUCCAGACUCCUACGGGAGGCAGCAGUAGGGAAUCUUCCGCAAAGGGCGAAAGCCUGACGGAGCAACGCCGCGUGAGUGAUGAAGGUCUUCGGAUCGUAAAACUCUGUUAUUAGGGAAGAACAAAUGUGUAAGUAACUAUGCACGUCUUGACGGUACCUAAUCAGAAAGCCACGGCUAACUACGUG
rnacentral:rRNA from 1 species